rnacentral:lncRNA from 1 species
AUUUCAGGUUUUACUACCUUAUAUGACAGACAAUGAAAAAUAAUCUGUUGCUCUACUUUUUAAAUCAGGACUCAGGACAUGGACUAUGAUGUCUGGAGGACACGACGCCAGGAAUCCCAUGUUCCUGAGAGAGUCUGGAGGUGGAGGCACAAGGUAAGAACAAUCUCAUGCCUGUGCUGCACCUCCUUGCCAGGCCAGACCCGCCCAUGGUUCCACAGCUGGGUUCGCCUUCCACAAAGCUGCACCAGAGUACCACAUGGCCACCGCCUUCACCCUUUAUCCACAACAGCACUAAUGAUGGUCCACGGUGAGCCAGACCCAAGUCCCAGCUUUAUUAGAAGUGAUCAGUAACUGUGGCUGUCCAAAUUCCCAGCCAACAGAACACUUUACUAGAAUGGGGAGGGUUCUAAGCUUUUUAAUUUCACUCUAAAUACUGCUUUCUAAUUGCAAUGUGUUAAACGAAUGGGGUACCACAAAAGUUCCUGGUCUUGCUCUUCAUGCUCUGAAUUCUGACUGUUAAUAUUUCUUCCUGCAAAACAUGGCUUUUAUAUAUUCCGUACACAUCUAGGUGCAGCUAUAAUAAUUUAUAAAAGAAAAAAUCUCAAAUAAUCAAGUGGCUGUUAAAUUAAAUAUGAAAGAAAUUGGAAGAAGACCAACUAAAAUUACACAGCGUUAUUAAAAGGAUGUCCUCUCUAAAUUUCUCAAAGUGUGUUUGGUCUUUACUGUGUAUGACUGGGACUGGAUUUU